UGAGGAAUAUUGCACAAUGGGCGCAAGCCUGAUGCAGCAACGCCGCGUGCGGGACGAAGGCCUUCGGGUCGUAAACCGCUUUUCUGGGGGAAGAGCAAGGACGGUACCUCAGGAAUAAGUCUCGGCUAACUACGUGCCAGCAGCCGCGGUAAAACGUAGGAGGCGAGCGUUAUCCGGAUUUACUGGGCGUAAAGCGCACGCAGGCGGCUCUGUUAGUCGGACGUGAAAGCUCUCGGCUUAACCGGGAGAGGCCGUUCGAUACUGCGGGGCUUUAGGUAGGGAGAGGAAUGCGGAAUUCCCGGUGUAGUGGUGGAAUGCGUAGAUAUCGGGAGGAACACCUGUGGCGAAAGCGGCAUUCUGGCCCUCACCUGACGCUGAGGUGCGAAAGCGUGGGUAGCAAACA
rnacentral:rRNA from 1 species